rnacentral:lncRNA from 1 species
CAGAUCAAGAGACCAAUAUGACAGUUCCACUAACUGAUCUUUGCAGAUCAACACUCCCUGGAUACGUUUUCAACCUUUCUAUUCAUUAAGGUGACUUGCUUCUGAUGGUUCAGCACUGCAGGUGGCCUCUCCUCUUCAAGGACCCUUUCAUCCCUGUUGCUGUUAGAGGCUCCAGUUCUGUAACAGCAUCUCCUCUCUAGGGAACAGCCUCCCCCCACCCGCUCUGAGCUUCUCUGCAGUGCUGGCGCUCCCAAAAACUCACUCCUUGGUGUCUUGGUACACGAGUCUCCUCCAGAUCCUGCCGAGAAUCAGGCUGGGGAGAGCAGAUCCAACUGGCACGCUCAGUUCUCUAGGCCUUCCUCCACAGUCUGCCUGGAAACUUUUUCCAGGCUUCCAACUGUCAUAUUAGAACAGGCUCCCAGGAACUAAGAAAAGGUCUUUAAAAGAUAUAAAAUCUUUCAGCCUCAGAGAAACACAUACAAAAAAAAAAUCAGUUAUUAACUCCAAGAAACAAAACUUACACCAAAGUUUAGGCUGACCAAUGUGAAAUUGCCAUCUUCAUAAGUCAAAAUAGAUGGAUACUGACCAUGUCAAGUAGUUUAAUCAGAUAUCAUCAGAGGACAUUACUACUUGGCUUACCAGUGACCAGCAUUUACUUAUUAAAUUUUCAAAAACUUUAACGAAGACAUCAGCACAUUAACAUUAAACAAAAAUUGUGCUAUAACAAUACAGGGGGAGUUGGGCAUGUUGGCUCAUGCCUGUAAUCCCAGCACUUUGGGAGGUCGAGGUGGAAGGAUCACUUAAGGCCAGAAGUUUAAGACCAGCCUGGGUAACAUAGCAAGACCCUAUUUCUCUAAAAAAAAAAAAAAAAAAAGGGAUAAAACGAAGUAGAAAAAAACUAAAACGGUCAAUUAUUAUGAUAGGAAGUCAAAACAAUGCAUAUUGGCAUAUUAUCUAAAAGGUAUGAAUCAGUAAGUAGAUAGCAGAAAAUAAGUCCAGAGGAUUCAGUCUUUUAAUGCUAUUUGAUGAUGUGUGUGUGUUGCUGUAAUAAAAAUAGUCUUUUUUUUUUUUUUUUUAAGAAAUGAUCAUCUUAUGGUGGGGCUAGAACAAUACCUGUAACCACAGGGUAAAGGAGAUUCUAUCCCGUAAUUCAUGAACCUGGUGCUGAGGAGCUCAGGGGAGCUCACGGGAGGAAGGCCCUGCAGCACAUUUCUGGGCUCUGCUGCCUGUCAUAGCCUGGUCAUAAUCUGGUGAAGCGGUUGUCCUUAUCCAACCAGAAGCUCCCCUGGCAGAUCACAAGGUCUCUUUAGACCAACAUCCAAUGACAGAGGCUGGGGGAUGCUGAUGCCUAACUUCAGCUCCAUCUCUGAUGAAAAGAUGCUUCCAGGCUGGGCACAGUGGCUCACGCCUGUAAUCCCAGCACUUUGGGAGGCCGAGGCAGGCAGAUCACCUGAGGUCAGGAGUUCAAGACCAACCUGGCUUUCAACAUGGUGAAACCCCAUCUCUACUAAAAAUACAAAAAUUAGCUGGGCUUGGUGGCAUGUGCCUGUAAUCCCAGCUACUUGGAAGGCUGAGGCGAGAGAAUCGCUUGAACCCGGGAGGCAGAGGUUGUAGUGAGCCAAGAUUGUGUCACUGCACUCCAGCUUGGAUGACAGAGCCAGGAUCCAUCCUAAAAAAAAGAAAGAAAAUGCUUCCAACCUUUGGGGGAGGUCCCUUGCCACAGUUCUGAAGGUUGGGGAAGUUCAUAAAUCAUGUUUUUCCUCAAAAUAAUUUAUGCAACAUAUCUCAGAGGAGGCAGCCUUUUAAAGACUCUUUCCACCUGUACAGGAAACUAACAUUCUGAUAUUGCUGGAGGAGGGCCUGGGGAGGGUGUAUAGGUUUCCUUUGGGGCUGUUGGAAGGUGUGCUAGAAGCACGUUGACCCAGUUUGCUGUGCAACUCUUUGCUCCAGCCAUCGAGGUCAUCUUGCUGUUCCUGAACACACUACAGUCUUGCCACUUAGGUCCUGACUAUGUCCACACUGCUUGCCUUCCCUGGAAUGCUCUUCCCUUCUUGGCUCUUCCCCUAAAUGCAUCCCCUUCCUUGAAGGUUUUGUAACACAGGGAUUCAAGGCUUUAGAUUUGCUCAAAUCUGGGUUUGGAUGUAGAAGGGCAAAUCCCUUAAUCUCCUUGAGCCUCACUCCCCUCCUUUGUAAAAUGGGAAUAAAAG